rfam:Gasterosteus aculeatus cont1.003004, whole genome shotgun sequence.
UCAUGAAGCAUUGCACCCAGCGUCUGGUCUGCCAGACAUUGUACCUGGAGCUUUUUUGUUUUUCUAAUUAAAAUGGGUU